rnacentral:misc_RNA from 1 species
AUCACUAAUCAAGCCCGGCUUGCUAUUGGAAUUUUUGUCGUUAAAACGGCAGGUCCCAAAGAUAAUGACGGCGUCAGUUGGACCCUAGAUGCAACGAGCUUUAAUCAGCACGCGUUUUAGUUGGUCCUUUUGACCCGGUCUUUUUUAACCAAUUUUAUCAGGUUGACCUCGGAUCAGGUAGGAAUACCCGCUGAACUUAA